GUGUCAGCAGCCGCGGUAAUACGUAGGGCGCAAGCGUUGUCCGGAAUUAUUGGGCGUAAAGAGCUCGUAGGCGGUUUGUCGCGUCUGGUGUGAAAACUCGAGGCUCAACCUCGAGCUUGCAUCGGGUACGGGCAGACUAGAGUGCGGUAGGGGAGACUGGAAUUCCUGGUGUAGCGGUGGAAUGCGCAGAUAUCAGGAGGAACACCGAUGGCGAAGGCAGGUCUCUGGGCCGCAACUGACGCUGAGGAGCGAAAGCAUGGGGAGCGAACAGGAUUAGAUACCCUGGUAGUCC
rnacentral:rRNA from 1 species